AUUUUUGAGAGAAAAGUUUAAUUUUAGCUUAAAAUUUUUCUUUUUAAAUUAUUUACAUGUAAUUUUUUGAAUGUAUAGUUUAUUAUUUAAAUAAUAAUAAAUUUAAAUUAUUCGCAGUAUAAAAAUUUAAAAAUUAAGGAAAUUUAGAUUUAGAAAUUAAAUUUAGUAUUAACUAAAUUUGUGCCAGCAGUUGCGGUUAUACAAAUAAUAUAAGAAAAGUAUUAAUAGAAGUAGUAAAAUUAAUUAUUUUUAGUUUAAAAUAUAAUUAUUAAGGUGAAAUUCAUAAUUAUAAGAAGAUUAAAAAAUUUAUUUGAUGCUAAUAAAUUUAAAUGUAAAACUAGGAUUAGAUACCCUAUUAUUUUAAGAAAAAUAAAUUUUUCUUAAUUAGUAUUAGUUAUGUUCUUGAAAAUUAAAAAAUUUGGCGGUAUUUUAGUCUUUUCAGAGGAACCUGUCCUGUAAAUGAUAGUCCACGAUUUAAUAAACUUAUUUUAAAAAUUUAUAUAUCGUCGUAAUUUGAAUAUUUUUAAAGAAUAUUAAUAUUCAGAGUAUUUAAUUUUAUAAAAAAUCAGAUCAAGGUGUAGUUUAUAAAUAAGAAGAGAUGGGUUACAAUUUAAUUAUAAUUAGAUAUAUAGAUUUAUUUUGUAUUGAAAUUGGAUUUGAUAGUAAUUUUUUAUAGAUUUAAAAAAUGAUUUAAGCUCUAUAAUAUGUACAUAUUGCCCGUCGCUUUUGUUUUAAGAUGAAAUAAGUCGUAACAAAGUAGAUUUACUGGAAAGUGAAUCUAGAGU
rnacentral:ncRNA from 1 species